rnacentral:rRNA from 1 species
GACAGAGGGGGCAAGCGUUGCUCGGAAUUACUGGGCGUAAAGGGCGCGUAGGCGGGAUGGCAAGUCGGUCGUGAAAUCCCUCGGCUCAACUGAGGAUCGUCGAUCGAUACUGCCGUUCUUGAGGAUUGCAGAGGAGACUGGAAUUCCCGGUGUAGCGGUGAAAUGGUGUAGAGAUCGGGAGGAACACCGGUGGCGAAGGCGGCAUCCUGGACCGGCAUUGACGCUGAGGCGCGAAAGCCAGGGGAGCAAACGGG